GCCUGUUUCUGCAUUUGUUUCAGUAGGUCACAUGUGACUUCUUUUUGUUCCAGGUCUUCCUGUGCUACCAUAAUCUGGUCUGAUUAGACUCUUUCCUCUUCCACUGCUGCUUUCUUGGCAGCUUGGUCAGCUAGGUAAUUUCCUCUGGCCUCAGAGGUGUCAGCUCGAGUGUGCAUGUAGAUCAAUAAAAUCUUCAGAAUCUCCAGUAUACUCCCCCCC